rnacentral:rRNA from 1 species
UACGGAGGAUACAAGCGUUAUCCGGAUUUAUUGGGUUUAAAGGGUGCGCAGGCGGACUAAUAAGUCAGAGGUGAAAUUUUGCAGCUUAACUGUAAACGUGCCUUUGAUACUGUUAGACUAGAGUUUAAGGGACGUAACCGGAAUGUGAUGUGUAGCGGUGAAAUGCAUAGAUAUGUCACAGAACGCCGAUCGUGAAGACAGGUUACGAACUUAAUACUGACGCUCAGGCACGAAAGCGUGGGGAUCAAACAGG